ACAUUGGGCCGACCAUGGAAUCAGAGCAGGGGGCAUUAUUUGUCUACUGCAUUGUAUCCAUGACGGCCAAAGAGUCACACUUUCCUCCCACUCAUAAUAUAGUCCCCUCACGUCAUGGUCCCUGAGAACCUUAGUCCACUACAGCAUCAACUCAUCAUCUAUAUCCCCUCAGUGAGUGAGGACUCCACAGCGAACUAUAGGCCAGCGCCAGCACUGCAAUUGUGCCUAGUGCCCAGUGAAGUGCAUCUUCCAGGCGUGGCACCGCGAAGUGCUGCAGGCCGCCGAGGUCUUUCCUCUCAAGGUGGUCUGCUGACUGCAUGACUUUCCUUUGCUGCAGCAGCUCCUUCUCUAGGAUGUGUGACACUGUCUGCUGUUGCAUCAGGCCCAUUCUUCAGGCUAAGGUACCUUCCUUUUCUGAGUUGCUGGUGUCAUCGAGACGGUCAUGACCUUCUGGUUGCUAUUUUUCUAUUGCAGGAGCAAGCCAGAGCCAAAAAGGAAACACCCCCUGAGUCCCCCACUCCUCAUUCAGCUGAGGAGAGGCAGCCUUCCAGCCCCAUCUAUGAGGGUUCAGGGAUGGCAUCCUUGGAGUGAGGCAUCCUCCCCGUUGCCCUUCUUUACCUUUCUGCACCUCCCUGCAGUCAGACUGCCAGCUGAGGAGUGGGUCACUGUCUCCCUACAGCCCUGGGAUGCAGCCUCCUUGAACGCAGAGGUCCUGCAAGUGAAAGUGAGCCCUAGCAUGUGUACAGUGCAGAGGCCACAAACUACCUUCCCACAGGCCAGCAGUUAGCAGAGCCUGGGCUAUGAUCCGGAAGCCAUCUAGGACACCACCAAACCCUCUGGCCACUAUCAAGCAGAAGAGAACACCUAUGACGAGUAUGAGAACGACCUGGGCAUCACAGCCAUCGCACUUUAGGACUACCAGGCUGCGCGUGGUGACGAAAUCUCCUUUGACCCUGAUGACAUCAUCAGCAACAUAGAAAUGAUGCAUGAGGAAGGCUGGCAGCGCAGCGUGUGCAAGCGCCUGUACGGGCUCUUCCCGGCCAACUAUGUGGAGAUGUGGCAGUAGGCGGCCCGCCUGCCCUGCGGGCCUGUACAGAAUCACACUUCAGAUCAUGCCUUUGCUGGUUUGGGGUUUUGGGUUUGUAUUUUUUGUUCUGUUUUCUGAGGGUGAGGAGGGAAAUAUACAUAUUGAUUUUAUAUUUAAUACUUCUACUGAUGCUUUUGAAAAUGUUGAUGCCACAGAAUGUGCUAAUAAAUUGUAAUCAUGUUCCCUAGGA